CCUUACACAUGCAAGUCGAACGGCAGCGGGCCUUCGGGUGCCGGCGAGUGGCGAACGGGUGAGUAAUGCAUCGGAACGUGCCAUUGAGUGGGGGAUAACGUAGCGAAAGUUGCGCUAAUACCGCAUAUUCUGUGAGCAGGAAAGCAGGGGACCGCAAGGCCUUGCGCUCUUUGAGCGGCCGAUGUCAGAUUAGCUAGUUGGUGAGGUAAAGGCUUACCAAGGCGACGAUCUGUAGCGGGUCUGAGAGGAUGAUCCGCCACACUGGAACUGAGACACGGUCCAGACUCCUACGGGAGGCAGCAGUGGGGAAUUUUGGACAAUGGGGGCAACCCUGAUCCAGCCAUGCCGCGUGAGUGAAGAAGGCCUUCGGGUUGUAAAGCUCUUUCGGCCGGGAAGAAAUCGCAUGGGUGAAUACCCUGUGUGGAUGACGGUACCGGAACAAGAAGCACCGGCUAACUACGUGCCAGCAGCCGCGGUAAUACGUAGGGUGCGAGCGUUAAUCGGAAUUACUGGGCGUAAAGCGUGCGCAGGCGGUUUGGUAAGACAGGCGUGAAAUCCCCGGGCUUAACCUGGGAACUGCGCUUGUGACUGCCAGGCUAGAGUACGGCAGAGGGGGGUGGAAUUCCACGUGUAGCAGUGAAAUGCGUAGAGAUGUGGAGGAACACCAAUGGCGAAGGCAGCCCCCUGGGUCGAUACUGACGCUCAUGCACGAAAGCGUGGGUAGCAAACAGGAUUAGAUACCCUGGUAGUCCACGCCCUAAACGAUGUCAACUAGGUGUUGGGUGGGUAAAACCAUUUAGUACCGUAGCUAACGCGUGAAGUUGACCGCCUGGGGAGUACGGCCGCAAGGUUAAAACUCAAAGGAAUUGACGGGGACCCGCACAAGCGGUGGAUGAUGUGGAUUAAUUCGAUGCAACGCGAAAAACCUUACCUACCCUUGACAUGCCACGAACUUGCCAGAGAUGGCUUGUGCCCGAAAGGAGCCUGGACACAGGUGCUGCAUGGCUGUCGUCAGCUCGUGUCGUGAGAUGUUGGGUUAAGUCCCGCACGAGCGCACCCUUGUCGUCAUGCCAUCAUUUGUGGGCACUUUACGAGACUGCCGUGACAACCGAGAAGUGGGAUGACGUCAGUCUCAUGGCCUAUGGUAGGCUUCACACGUCAUACAUGUUCGUACAAAGGUUGCCAAGCCGCGAGGCGGAACCAUCCAAGCGAAUGUAAUCCGGAUGAAGGCUGCACCUCCCCUGCUGUAAAAUCGGAACUCCCCUCUAUAUUU
rnacentral:rRNA from 1 species